rnacentral:RNase_P_RNA from 1 species
AUGCGGAUGAUCGCGCCGGUUUAGCCGGUGAGGAAAGUCCGGGCUGCACAGGGCAGAGUGCCGGAUAACGUCCGGUGGAGGCGACUCCAAGGAAAGUGCAACAGAAAAGAAACCGCCGCCCUCGGGCGGUAAGGGUGGAAUGGCAGUGUAAGAGACUACCGCUUCGCUGGUAACAGAGAAGGCUGUGUAAACCCCACUUCGCAGCAAGACCGAACAGGAAACGAUACGGCGGCCCGUCGUGUUUCCGGGUGGGUUGCGUUCCGUAGCCGGAAGGGUACGGAGGAGUCAUGUGGUAACAUAUGACCAAGACAGAUGAUCAUCCUCGACAGAACCCGGCUUACAGCAUCACUCG